rnacentral:tRNA from 1 species
GGUGGGGUGGCAGAGUGGUCGAUUGCGCUGGUUUUGAAAACCAGUGGGGUGUAACAGCUCCCGUGGGUUCGAAUCCCACCCCCACCG